GGGAUGGGCUUACCUUCCACUGUGAGAGUUACCUGAAGCUCGGUGUCCUUGAUGGUGUAGGGUGCUUCCGAGGCAAUCGGGCAGUGUCAGUCUUCAGCUGCUAAGCCAAGAAGAUCUGGGAAGGAAUCAGAGAGCCUUGGGCUAGAGCUUUAGGGGCUCUAGGAAUGGCUGCCAGGUGAGCUGGGCAGUCUGAUUUCCAGUGGGUCCCUGCACAGAUGGGACAUGGCUUGGGAGGAAUCCCAGGCUACGGGCAUUCCUUGGCCCAGUGGCCAGAUUUCUGGCACUUGAAGCAAGAUCCUGUUGGAGGAAGUCUUGUAGGAAUGCUUGACUGCUGCGGCUUAGGCAUUUUGAAGUUCUCAUAUGCAGGAGGUGUGGCUGGGUUUUCUCUCACAGCAGAGGCAAGUAAUUGUAACUCAGAAACGCGUUGCCGUCUGGCUGCUUCCUCUCUAUUAUUGUACACCUUGAAGUACUACUUCUCCUUCCUGAUGCCACGUGAAGAAGGACAUGUUUGGUUACCCUUCUGCCAUGAUUCUGAGUUCCCUGAGGCCUCCUCAGCCCUGCAGAACUGUGAGUCAAUUAAACCUCUUACCUUUAUAAAUUACCCAGUCUUGGGCAGUUCUUUAUAGCAGCAUGAGAACGGACUAAUACAGUAAAUUGGUACUGCAGAGAGUGUGGUGCUGCUGUAAAGAUACUAGAAAAUGUGGAAGCAACUUUGGAACUGGGUAACAGGCAGAGAUUGAAACACUUUGGAGGACUCAGAAGAAGACAGGAAAAUGGGAAAGUUUGGAAUUUCCUGGAGACUUGAAGGGCUCAGAAUAUAGGAAGGCGUGGGAAAGUAUGAAAAUUCCUAGAGACUUGUCGAAUGGCUUUGAAAAAAAAUCUGAUAGUGAUAUGGACAAUGAAGCUCAGGCUGAGGUGGUCUCAGAUGGAGAUGAGGAAUUUAUUGGGAACUAGAGCAAAGGCGAUGCUUGUUAUGCUUUAGCAAAGAGACUGGAGGCAUUUUGCCCCUGCCCUAGAGAUCUGUGGAACUUUGAACUUGAAGGAGAUGAUUUAGGAUAUCUGGUUGAGGAAAUUUCUAAGUGGCAAAGUGUUCAAGAAGCAGAGCAUAAAAGUUUGGAAAAUUUACAGAAUGAUGAAGCAAUGAAAAAGAAAAACCCAUUUUCUGGGGAGAAAUUUAAGCCUGAUGCAGAAAUCUGCAUAAAUAACGAGUAGCUGAGUGUUAAUCACCAAGGCGAUGGGGAAAAUGCCUCCAGGGCAUGUCAGAGACCUUCACAACUGCCUCUGUUAUCAUAGGCCUGGACGCCUUGGGGGGAAAAAUGGUUUCAUGAGCUAGGCCAGGGCCCCCCUGCAGUAUGCAGCUUUGGGUAUGGUGUCCUGUGUCCCAGCUGCUUUAGCUCCAUCUUUGGUAAAAAGCAUCAAGGUACAGCUUGGGCCAUUGCCUUAGAGGGUGCAAGCCCCAAGCCUUGGUGGCUUACAUGUGGUGUUGGACCUGCAGGUGCACAAAGGUCAAGAAAUGAGAUUUGGGAACCUACACCUAGAUUUCAGAGGAUGUAUGGAGACAGCUGGAUGUCCAGGCAGAAGUUUGCUGCAGGGGUGGAGGCUUCAUGGAGAACCUCUGUUAGGGCAGUGUGGAAAGGAAAUGUGGUGUUGGAGCCCACACACAGAGUCCCCACUGUGGCACUGCCUAGUGGAGCUGUGAGAACAGGGCCACCAUCUUCCAGCCCCCAGGAUGGUAGAUCCACCAACAGCUUUCACCAUGCACCUGGAAAAACUGCAGACACUCAACAUUAGCCCAUGAAAGCAGCCAGGAGGGGUGCUGUUUUCUGCAAAGCCACAGGAGCUGAGCUGCCCAAGGCUGUGGGAGCCCACUUCUUACAUCAGUUUGCCCUGGAUGUGAGACAUGGAAUCAAAUGAGAUCAUUUUGGAGCUUUAAGAUUUAGCUGCCCUGCUGGAUUUCGGAUUUGCAUGGGACCUGUAGCCCUGUCCUUUGGCUGGUUUCUCCCAUUUGGAAUGGGUGUGUCUACCCAAUGCCUGUACUCCCAUUGUAUUUAGGAAGUAACUAACUUGCUUUUGAUUUUACAGGCUCAUCGGUAGCAGGGACUUGCCUUGUCUAAGAUGAGACUUUGGACUUGGACUUUUGGGUUAUGCUGGAAUAAGUUAAGAUUUUGGGAUACUGUUAGAAGGGCAUGAUUGUGUUUUGAAAUGUGAGGACAUGAUAUUUGGGAGGGGACAAGGGUGGAAUAAUAUGGUUUGGCUCUGUGUCCCCACCCAAAUCUCACCUUAAAUUGUAGUUCCCAUAAUCCCCAUAUGUCAUAGAAGGGACCUGGUAGGAGGCAAUUUAAUCAUGGGGGAGGUUACCCUCAUGCUGUUCUUGUGAUAGUGAGUGAGUUCUCGUGAGAUCUGAUGGUUUUAUAAGGGACUUUCCCCCCUUUUACUCGGCACUUCUUCCUGCCACCAAGUAAAGAAGGAUGAGUUUGCUUCCCCUUCCACUAUGAUUAUAAGUUUCCUGAAGCCUCCCCAGCCCUGCAGAACUGUGAAUCAAUUAAGCCUCUUUCCCUUAUAAAUUACCCAGUCUUGGGCAGUUCUUUAUAAUAGUGUGAGAAUAGACUAAUACAGGGUAGAUACCGAGUAGUGGGAUUGCUGGCUCAAAUGGUAGAUCUCCUUUUCAUUCUUUAAGGGAUCUCCAUACUGCUUUCCGUAGUGGUUGUACUAGUUUACAUUCCCAUCAUCAGCAUAAAAGUGUUCCUUUUUCAUCACAUCCACACCAACAUCUAUUUUUUUAUGUUUAAAUUAUGGCCAUUCUUGCAGGAGUAAGGUGGAAUCUCAUUGUGAUUUUCAUUUUCAUUUCACUGAUAACUAG
rnacentral:lncRNA from 1 species